rnacentral:rRNA from 1 species
UCAACUUGAGAGUUUGAUCCUGGCUCAGAAUGAACGCUGGCGGCAGGCCUAACACAUGCAAGUCGAGCGGACCCGCAAGGGUCAGCGGCGGACGGGUGAGUAACGCGUGGGAACAUGCCCGGAGGUGCGGGAUAGUCUUGGGAAACCGGGGGUAAUACCGCAUGUGCUCUGUGACCUUGGCGGUUGCGGAGGAAAGAUUUAUCGCCUUCGGAUUGGCCCGCGUUGGAUUAGGUAGUUGGUGGGGUAACGGCCUACCAAGCCGACGAUCCAUAGCUGGUUUGAGAGGAUGAUCAGCCACACUGGGACGAGACAACGGCCCAGACUCCUACGGGAGGCAGCAGUGGGGAAUAUUGGACAAUGGGCGAAAGCCUGAUCCAGCAAUGCCGCGUGAGUGAUGAAGGCCUUAGGGUUGUAAAGCUCGUUUACCCGGAUGAUAAUGACAGUACCGGGAGAA